rnacentral:rRNA from 1 species
UACAGAGGGUGCGAGCGUUAAUCGGAAUUACUGGGCGUAAAGCGCACGUAGGUGGCGACGUAAGUCGGGUGUGAAAGCCCCGGGCUCAACCUGGGAAUUGCAUUCGAGACUGCAUUGCUGGAGUACGGAAGAGGAGGGCGGAAUUCCCGGUGUAGCGGUGAAAUGCGUAGAUAUCGGGAGGAACAUCAGUGGCGAAGGUUGCCCUCUGGACCAGUACUGACACUCAAGUGCGAAAGCGUGGGGAGUAAACAGG